rnacentral:rRNA from 1 species
UACGGGAGGCAGCAGUGGGGAAUAUUGCACAAUGGGCGCAAGCCUGAUGCAGCCAUGCCGCGUGUAUGAAGAAGGCCUUCGGGUUGUAAAGUACUUUCAGUCGUGAGGAAGGUGUUAAGGUUAAUAACCUUAGCAAUUGACGUUAGCGACAGAAGAAGCACCGGCUAACUCCGUGCCAGCAGCCGCGGUAAUACGGAGGGUGCGAGCGUUAAUCGGAAUUACUGGGCGUAAAGGGCACGCAGGCGGUUAAUUAAGUUGGAUGUGAAAUCCCCGGGCUUAACCUGGGAAUGGCAUUCAAGACUGGUUAGCUAGAGUCUUGUAGAGGGGGUAGAAUUCCAUGUGUAGCGGUGAAAUGCGUAGAGAUGUGGAGGAUACCGGUGGCGAAGGCGGCCCCUGGACAAGACUGACGCUCAUGUGCGAAAGCGUGGGGAGCAAACAGGAUUAGAUACC